GUGGGGAAUCUUCCGCAAUGGACGAAAGUCUGACGGAGCAACGCCGCGUGAGUGAAGAAGGUUUUCGGAUCGUAAAGCUCUUUCGUUAGGGACGAACGUGCUCUUUGUGAAUAAUGAGGAGUAAUGACGGUACCUAAAUAAGAAGCCACGGCUAACUACGUGCCAGCAGCCGCGGUAAUACGUAGGUGGCAAGCGUUGUCCGGAAUUAUUGGGCGUAAAGCGCGCGCAGGCGGGAUAUCAAGUCUGUCUUAAAAGUGCGAGGCUCAACCUCGUGAGGGGACAGAAACUGGUAUUCUUGAGUGUCGGAGAGGAAAGUGGAAUUCCAAGGGUAGCGGUGAAAUGCGUAGAGAUUUGGAAGGACACCAGUGGCGAAGGCGACUUUCUGGACGAUGUCUGACGCUGAGGCGCGAAAGCUAGGGGAGCGAACGGGAUUAGAUACCCCUGUAGUCC
rnacentral:rRNA from 1 species